AUUGAACGCUGGCGGCAGGCCUAACACAUGCAAGUCGAACGAGUGGCGGACGGGUGAGUAAUGACUGGGAAACUGCCUGAUGGAGGGGGAUAACUAAUGGAAACGGUAGCUAAUACCGCAUACCAUCGGAUGUGCCCAGAUGGGAUUAGCUAGUAGGUGGGGUAACGGCUAACCUAGGCGACGAUCCCUAGCUGGUCUGAGAGGAUGACCAGCCACACUGGAACUGAGACACGGUCCAGACUCCUACGGGAGGCAGCAGUGGGGAAUAUUGGACAAGGGGCGAAAGCCUGAUGCAGCCAUGCCGCGUGUGUGAAGAAGGUCUUCGGAUUGUAAAGCACUUUUAGUAGGGAGGCGUUACUCACAGAAUAAGCACCGGCUAACUCCGUGCCAGCAGCCGCGGUAAUUC
rnacentral:rRNA from 1 species